CGGGGUUGCGGACAGUGUCUGGUGGGUAGUUUGACUGGGGCGGUCUCCUCCCAAAGCGUAACGGAGGAGCACGAAGGUUAGCUAAUCCUGGUCGGACAUCAGGAGGUUAGUGCAAUGGCAUAAGCUAGCUUGACUGCGAGCGUGACGGCGCGAGCAGGUGCGAAAGCAGGUCAUAGUGAUCCGGUGGUUCUGAAUGGAAGGGCCAUCGCUCAACGGAUAAAAGGUACUCCGGGGAUAACAGGCUGAUACCGCCCAAGAGUUCAUAUCGACGGCGGUGUUUGGCACCUCGAUGUCGGCUCAUCACAUCCUGGGGCUGAAGUAGGUCCCAAGGGUAUGGCUGUUCGCCAUUUAAAGUGGUACGCGAGCUGGGUUUAGAACGUCGUGAGACAGUUCGGUCCCUAUCUGCCGUGGGCGCUGGAGAAUUGAGGGGGGCUGCUCCUAGUACGAGAGGACCGGAGUGGACGCAUCACUGGUGUUCGGGUUGUCAUGCCAAUGGCACUGCCCGGUAGCUAAAUGCGGAAGAGAUAAGUGCUGAAAGCAUCUAAGCACGAAACUUGCCCCGAGAUGAGUUCUCCCUGAGACUUUAAGUCUCCUGAAGGAACGUUAAAGACGAUGACGUUGAUAGGCCGGGUGUGUAAGCGCAGCGAUGCGUUGAGCUAACCGGUACUAAUGAACCGUGAGGCUUAACCUU
rnacentral:rRNA from 2 species